UGCUAUUUUUUUUGUAACUUUUCCAAAAGUAGCUAAAAAAAAAUAAAUAAAUAAACCAAACACCCCAAAGUUCCAAAAUUUUAAUCGCGGCACUUCUUUCUCCCCUCAAAAUAUUUUCAAAGCUUUACUUCUCUCUAUUCAUGAAAAAUGUGUGGCCUUCUGCCUCUUCGUCUUCACCACUCCCACUCUCAUCUAUGGUUCGAAAAAUGCCAUCACGAUUCAGCAUACACCGCCAUCGACCUACCAGCUACCGCUCCGGAAUCGGCAUCACCGGUACCCUGCUCCCGCUGCCAUUCUCUAUAAUCUCCGACUUUAUUCUCGCCUCCCACCAAUCGAUUUUCUCUGCUUUCAUUGAAGAAGGUAUACCCUGAUUUUUUUGGUUAUGAAUCUAGGAAUCAAAGUUAAUUAUUAGGGGUGCAAAACAGGGCCAAUAAUAUUGGUUUAUGUCGACUCUUCACAGCAAAGUGAUGUUGUUGUUGACGACUUCUAAAGGCAUUGAUUUUGAAGCUGGUAUCUCUUUAUCCUUAAAACCCCUAACUUUGAUUAUUUUUUAGUUAGAGUUUUCUUGUGGAUAAAUUAUGUGGCCCUGAGUUUGGUUAAUUGUCUUUACAACAGUUUGUGUUUCUGUUUGAUGCGAUUAAAUUGAAACGAUGAGAUUAUAGCUCGUUUUCUUUGUAUCGGAUUUGGAAAUUGCUAGGGGUUCGUAUCAUUUUUCUUAAUCUUAUUUUUGUAACUAUGGUUAGGACUUCAGUUGAGAAUUAUUUCAGUGAAAUUGUAUUAACUAUUGAGUUUUGAUAAUGUAAGGUUAAGGUUAUUAGCAAACACGGUUGUGGAAGGAUCAAGUUUUCAUUGAAUUUGAACAAUGGUGCUGUUUUUUAGUUGCUUUUGCUUUCACCCUUGACCCUAAGUUUAACUAUGAGAUUGUUUCUAUUGUGUCUUGUAGAUUCGGCAAAGGCAUCCACCAUAAACAUGCAUCUGAUACUUGUUAUACUGUUUAAACUGUGUCCUAUGUUAUUCUUACAUGGAAGGUUAUUGUUGAUCAUAAUCAUGAUGAAUUGAAGGAAGAGCUUAAGGAAAAACGUGAAGAAUUUGAGACAAAAACCAAAAAAUAGCCAAGAUUACUCAAGCAUUAAUACUUAUUAUGGUAGUCGAAUGCUAAAGUUUUGAUUUUAGGGUAUAAAGUUCGACAUAUUUUUGUGAAUUCUUGUUUGGAAUAGCAACAUAUUUGACAUUUAUUAGGCCGUUGUUAAAAAAGAGAUUAUUCUUUAACUAAUAAUCAGUCAUCAACAAAUUAAUGA